UACGUAGGGACCAAGCGUUGUCCGGAAUUACUGGGCGUAAAGCGCGCGUAGGCGGUUUUGCAAGCCAGAGGUGAAAUGCCUGAGCUCAACUCAGGAAUGGCCUUUGGGACUGCGAGGCUUCGAGGACUGGAGAGGUGAGUGGAAUUCCCAGUGUAGAGGUGAAAUUCGUAGAUAUUGGGAAGAACACCGGUGGCGAAGGCGGCUCACUGGCCAGUUUCUGACGCUGUAGCGCGAAAGCGUGGGGAUCAAACAGG
rnacentral:rRNA from 1 species